UACGGAGGGUGCAAGCGUUAUCCGGAUUUACUGGGUUUAAAGGGUGUGUAGGCGGGUCUUUAAGUCAGUGGUGAAAUCUCCGAGCUUAACUCGGAAACUGCCGUUGAUACUAUUUGUCUUGAAUAUUGUGGAGGUAAGCGGAAUAUGUCAUGUAGCGGUGAAAUGCUUAGAUAUGACAUAGAACACCAAUUGCGAAGGCAGCUUACUACACAACGAUUGACGCUGAGGCACGAAAGCGUGGGGAUCAAACAGG
rnacentral:rRNA from 1 species